rnacentral:rRNA from 1 species
GAUGAACGCUAGCUACAGGCUUAACACAUGCAAGUAGAGGGACCGGCGCACGGGUGACUCAUACGUAUCCAACCUGCCCUUUACUCGGGGAUAGCCUCUCGAAAGAAAGAUUAAUAACCGAUGUAAAGGAGGGGGAUGCGUUCCAUUAGGUUGUUGGUGAGGUAACGGCUCACCAAGCCUUCGAAUGAUAGGGGUUCUUAGAGGAAGGAACCCCACAGUGGAACUGAGACACGAUCCAAACUCGUACGUGAGGCAGCAGUGUGGAAUAUUGGGCAAUGGGCGUUAGCCUGAAUCAGCCAAGUAGCGUGAAGGAUGAAUGCUUAUGGGUCGUAAACUUCUUAUAUAUAAGAAUAUGUAUUAUAUGGAUAAGGAUCAGCUAACUCCGUGCCAGCAGCCGCGGUAAUUC